UCUACUGUAUUGAAUAUUAAUUAUUCAGUUUGAGCGCAUCUGUUACGGCAUUAGUAUGAAAAUCAGCAUUUUAUAUUUUAUUUUAUUGGCAAUAAUAAGUAUAAAAUGUCUGCGAGGACAAGACAUGGAAGAUUCAACAAACAAUUCAACACAGAUGGUAGGCUUUUUAUUCUAUACUCCAGAAAGAUAUUCUCCGUGUGGAUACAGACACAAUGGCCAGCCGAUACCAUGUAGAUAUUGAUGAUUACUUUUUAAUAACUUCCUUUCACGGUGAUCCGUAUUAUUUCUAUAAUGUGGUGAUAUUUAAGAAAAAGAUGAUUUGGGUUUAACAAAAACAAAAAUAAUAAAUAAAUAUAAAUAUAUAAACGCCAUA
rnacentral:sRNA from 1 species